AAGCGGUCGUCCCGGAUUAAUUGGUCGUAAAGCGAAGCGCCAGUCGGAAGAAUAAGUCUGAUGUGAAGGCCCUUCGUCUUUACCCGAGGAACUGCAUGAGGAAACUGUUUUUUCCUUGAGUGCAGAAGAGGAAGAGUGGAAACUCCAUGUGUAGCCGGUGGAAUGCGUAGAUAUAUGGAAGAACCCCAGUGGCGAAGGCGUCUCUCUGGUCUGCAACUGACGCUGAGGCUCGAAAGCAUGGGUAGCGAACAGGAUUAGAUACCCUGGUAGUCCAUGCCGUAAACGAUGAGUGCUAAGUGUUGGGAGGUUUCCGCCUCUCAGUGCUGCAGCUAACGCAUUAAGCACUCCGCCUGGGGAGUACGACCGCAAGGUUGAAACUCAAAGGAAUUGACGGGGGCCCGCACAAGCGGUGGAGCAUGUGGUUUAAUUCGAAGCAACGCGAAGAACCUUACCAGGUCUUGACAUCUAGUGCCAUUUGUAGAGAUACAAAGUUCCCUUCGGGGACGCUAAGACAGGUGGUGCAUGGCUGUCGUCAGCUCGUGUCGUGAGAUGUUGGGUUAAGUCCCGCAACGAGCGCAACCCUUGUUAUUAGUUGCCAGCAUUAAGUUGGGCACUCUAAUGAGACUGCCGGUGACAAACCGGAGGAAGGUGGGGAUGACGUCAAGUCAUCAUGCCCCUUAUGACCUGGGCUACACACGUGCUACAAUGGGCAGUACAACGAGAAGGGACCCUGUGAAGGCAAGCGGAUCUCUGAAAGCCGUUCUCAGUUCGGAUUGCAGGCUGCAACUCGCCUGCAUGAAGCUGGAAUCGCUAGUAAUCGCAAAUCAGCACGUUGCGGUGAAUACGUUCCUGGGCCUUGUACACACCGCCCGUCACACCAUGAGAGUAUGUAACGCCCGAAGCCGGCGGGAUAACCGAAAGGAGUCUUCCUCUAAGGCGGGACAGAUGAUUAGGGUG
rnacentral:rRNA from 1 species